rnacentral:rRNA from 1 species
CGUGUGCGGGAAGAGGCUUCGGNUUAAAAACCGCUUAUGUACGGGAAGAAAUCCUCUGGGCUAAUACCCCGGGGGGAUGACGGUACCGGAAGAAUAAGCACCGGCUAACUACGUGCCAGCAGCCGCGGUAAUACGUAUGGUGCGAGCGUUAAUCGGAAUUACUGGGCGUAAAGCGUGCGCAGGCGGUUGUGCAAGACAGAUGUGAAAUCCCCGGGCUUAACCUGGGAACUGCAUUUGUGACUGCACGGCUAGAGUGCGGCAGAGGGGAGUGGAAUUCCGCGUGUAGCAGUGAAAUGCGUAGAUAUGCGGAGGAACACCGAUGGCGACGGCAGGUCCCUGGGCCUGCACUGACGCUCAUGCACGAAAGCGUGGGGAGCAAACAGGAUUAGAUACCCUGGUAGUCCACGCCCUAAACGAUGUCAACUGGUUGUUGGUCCUUCACUGGAUCAGUAACGUAGCUAACGCGUGAAGUUGACCGACUGGGGAGUACGGCCGCAAUGUUGAAACUCAAAGGAAUUGACGGGGACCCACACAAGCG